rnacentral:misc_RNA from 1 species
GUAUAAUCAGUAGGAUAUGCAUAGUAUAGAUGCCUCUGUAGUGUAAAUCUUUCCCCAGCUUGAUCUUACUUCUUGUGCAGUAAUGGGUUCUUGCAAAUUUCCUCUCUUUUCACAGACGUUCGUCUCUUUGGCCUCGCAUGUUAUCCAGCUUAGAUGACAAUUAAACAAGAAAGUAGUUGACGCUAUAAAGUCAAAACUGCAGGCUUCCCAGCCUAGUUUUAUGGAAUUUUAGUUAGUUUUCAUUUUAUCAAAUUAAAUUAUGUAAUUUUUGAAUAAUUUUUCCCUUGCAUAGGAAGAUCAGGUAUGCGACCUGAAGCUAGGCUUGACGGUCGUUACAUGGUCGCUGAAAUUGAAAAACCCAUUCUCAGCUCUUUAUUGAUGUAUUUGCAUAUCGCUAUAGAUGCAAAUAAAUACUAGUUUAGAUCCAUCCAGAUGCAAAUUUUAGACAGCAUAUGAAAUAGCAUGAAAAAUGGGACGAGGUUUGGGAAAUACUUAACACUUCAGUUCUAUAAUAUUUUUAUGCUUGUCUUAUUAAAUAACCAGAGGAAGUCUCAAAGCAGUUCAGGAAUACUAUCAACAUCUAAUCUGGAUUAACCUUCUACAGUCCAGCCAAGAAUGGAUUUUGUUAUGUAAAACAGUGCGUAUAUGUAUUUACGCAUCAUCCUUUCAAUAUGGAUCACUAGCCUAGAGCAAAGAUGGCUGUGAUGCCUUUAUAAAUGACAUAGGAGAAAACUUUUCUUUUCUUCUAUAUUUUUCCCAUGAAGAAAUGCACACAAAGCAACUUUCGAUUACCGAAAUUGAGGAUUACGUAAAUUAACCUAGUAACCAACAUUUAGAUCAAUUAUGCAUUCUAGUAAUGAUAAGGGAUAAGCUAGCUGGUCAGGAUAGGAGUUAGGACUGAAGAGUUUAAGCGUUGUUCUCAUCCCAGCAUAUAUAGUCAUUGCACCGGUCCAAAUCAAACUGCU